rnacentral:tRNA from 1 species
GGGGUUGUAGCUCAGCGGUAGAGCACUUGCCUUGCAUGUGUGAGGCACUAGGUUCAAUCCUCAGCACCA